GUUCAAACACCGGUUCUCGCCCGAUCACCGGAGUUAAGCACCGUAAAGCAUGGUUAAUACUUAGAUGGGUGACCGCUCUGGGAUAUCAGUUGCUGUAAG